rnacentral:misc_RNA from 1 species
UUACAAACUCCAAAACCCCUGUGGAACUUACCUAUGUUGCCUUGGCAGGUCGUGGUGUGUAGCGUGAUCGCUAUAAGGGAUCACCGCCUCGCACCACGCUGAAAGACCUGUCAAAGGACCCCUAAACUCUGUCUUACAACUGUAUCUCUGAGUCUAUUAUAUAAACAAGUUAAA